UACAGAGGGUGCAAGCGUUAAUCGGAAUUACUGGGCGUAAAGCGUGCGUAGACGGCUAUUUAAGUCGGGUGUGAAAGCCCCGGGCUCAACCUGGGAAUUGCAUUCGAGACUGAAUAGCUAGGGUACGGUAGAGGGAAGUGGAAUUUCCGGUGUAGCGGUGAAAUGCGUAGAUAUCGGAAGGAACAUCAGUGGCGAAAGCGACUUCCUGGACCAGUACCGACGUUCAGGCACGAAAGCGUGGGGAGCAAACAGG
rnacentral:rRNA from 1 species